AUUGAACGCUGGCGGCAGGCCUAACACAUGCAAGUCGAACGAGUGGCGGACGGGUGAGUAAUGUCUGGGACACUGCCCGAUGGAGGGGGAUAACUACUGGAAACGGUGGCUAAUACCGCAUACUAUCGGAUGACCCCAUAUGGGAUUAGCUAGUAGGUGGGGUAACGGCUCACCUCGGCGACGAUCCCUAGCUGGUCUGAGAGGAUGACCAGCCACACUGGAACUGAGACACGGCCCAGACUCCUACGGGAGGCAGCAGUGGGGAAUAUUGCACAAUGGGCGCAAGCCUGAUGCAGCCAUGCCGCGUGUAUGAAGAAGGCCUUCGGGUUGUAAAGUACUUUCAGCGAGGAGGCGUUACCCGCAGAAGAAGCACCGGCUAACUCCGUGCCAGCAGCCGCGGUAAUUC
rnacentral:rRNA from 1 species